rnacentral:rRNA from 1 species
UACAGAGGUCCCAAGCGUUGUUCGGAUUCAUUGGGCGUAAAGGGUGCGUAGGCGGCGCGGUAAGUCGGGUGUGAAAUCUCGGGGCUUAACUCCGAAACUGCAUUCGAUACUGCCGUGCUUGAGGACUGGAGAGGAGACUGGAAUUUACGGUGUAGCGGUGAAAUGCGUAGAUAUCGUAAGGAAGACCAGUGGCGAAGGCGGCAUCCUGGACCGGCAUGACGCCUGGAGGCGCGAAAGCCAGGGAGCAAACGGGAUU